UAAAAAAAACGGUCGAGAAGGCCCGGAGCCUGAAAUGCUCAGGGUCGAUUGAUGGAUAAUCUUAUUCCGUAUAAUAUUUAAUUAACAUCUGUUCCCAAAGCGUCCGCUUCCCUGCUUUUGUUUAGUGAGCAGUGGAAUAGAAAUAGCAACUAUCCAGAUAAGCUAUUUCUUUCGUUAAAUCUUCAAGCUGCCAACAGCGAUGUGUCACACUUUGAGAGAAACAUCGAUCUGGAGCCCUGUGGAGGAGUCACCUUGGGGACUUUACAGCGAGCUUCCUGUCCUGUCAUUUGUCUGGGGAAACCCUCUGUUCAGCUUGAACCAAUGUCCCACCUUGGAAAUCACAGGACCUAUUUGGGACGGACCCCACGCAGAGUCUCCAGUCUGCAGGCACAGCACAUCAUUAUGGGUCUCGUGCUUCUCCAUCUACCAGUUGACAGUGCUGGUUCCAUCAAAGCCGCAAACGCCCAUCCAUCCCCUUGCAUCUGGAUGCCAUACUCAGCCCCGUCUUCACAGUCAUUGUGAUUUAUACCCAUUUGCGGUAUUUCACCUUUUUAUGGAGGAAUCAUUGGUUCCAAGAGGUGUAAAAAAUGUCACAGUGUUUUUACUGUUUAGCUGAACUUAACAUUUUCGCGGGAAAGCCACCUGUGGUCUGCUUAGAAAUGUUUUAUGGACGUCGAUUCAUUUCUACCAGUAUAGAUUACCUCCCUUUCCACUUACCUGACAACAUGCCCGAUUUUAAAAGGCCAUUGCUUCCGAUUUAAAUUUUGUUUUAAGAUAAUUAAGGAAAAUCUGAUUUUCCACUGCAGUAGGCCUAUUAGUGGUAAAACAGUUUGAGAUAACUUUGCCUAAAUCGUGACAAAGAAUUAAGUCAAUGAAUCUUGAAAAUCGCCGGUAAGUCCUUGUCUGAAUUGCGCUAAGCACGGUAGCGCUCAUGCACUACUUCCCGUCAUAGAUAAGGAGGACCUACAACAAGGGGGAAUGUAUGAAAGGACGGAUAAAGGGAUGAGUAUGUAAGGAUGAGCCGGAUAGAAAACGCAUGACACGACUACCAGCCGCCGUAAACCUUCGCAAAUCAGAAGCCUGAUAAAUGUUAUGAACCACUACAUUCUGACCCGUAUGAAGGCAGUCUAUACGACGCAAAUGUAGCACGUCACAAGGCGUGAAAACCCCGAUGAAAUCAUUUCAACUGUAUAGAAGACAACUGGCUUUUUAAAUGAAUGAAUGAAUGAAUGAAAGGGCACAUUCCGUUUCAAUGUCUUUAAAAACUGUAUGCUGCGUAUCUCCAAUGAAAAACUGUUCCCAAGAAAACUCCCAGCUUACUGGGACAAGGCACUGAAACUUUGGAAAAGGAUUUAUUGCUCAGCUAGAUUUUUCAACUGAACCUUAUUUGAUGUGCCCAAAGCUUUGCUUGCACAAUAUAAGCCUUAAAUACUGCCCGCACAGUAAAAGUCGGGACGAGAAUGAGUUCAAUAAAAUAUAUGAAAGUAGCGUAAGUUAGGCAUGCAGAAUUGAAUGUUUAAUAAAACGUUAGGAUAUUGCAUCCAACGGCAAAAAAUUAAAUAAAAUAUUGCAUUAAUUUCACCGUGGUUCAUUUAAAUCCAGGCAUAAAACGUAUGACUUGAAAUAGGCCUAUGUAAAUAAUUGCACGUGGCUGUACCAGCCAUGGGUACUUAAACGUAUUAUUCCGUUUACUUUAUUAGAAAUAAAUUUUCUAAAACACAUUCAUGAUAUUCAUAUUCUAUCGAUAUUUUAAAAAACUAUAAAUCUUUAAAAAGUGCUUGGAUUUGGCAGUUUUUUAUAAGCUGGUUAUUAUUUAUAUUUUAAAGUUCGUGGGUUCUGUAACAAUUAAUUAAGGUUUUCACAUCACGGUAAUUAUUCAGAAUCAAAAUAACCAGCUAUGUUAUAGUGAAAUGACGUUGAUAAUUAUGUGAAUGUUGAUUGGAUUUGAUAUUACUUAAUGUUUAAGUUUUUCUCAUGGGUUACUGUGCCAACUGGAAUCUCAGGGAAAAUAUCUGUCUCUACGAAUUUGAUUGAAACGGUGCAGGCCUUUGCUUGCAUGCGCGUUAGUCAUUCGUUUUCAAAAUAUUUUAUUAUCAUUUCUCCUUUCAUAGACAGCCUUGAGUAGGAGUUUCUGUCCUGAGUGCCCAGUCCUAUUCAGAACGCAGAUGUUUUCCAUUACGCUCUGCAUUGUGCCAGCGACUUCUAGCAUCGCGGAAAAUAUAUUGUGACUAAUGGUCUUUAAAGAAUAUUCCGUCUACUCUGAUUUCUGCAAAUAUUAUUAGAUGUUAAUGGGUACCACUCCGUGGCAGGCCCGAGGUGUCCACCGGAUUAGUACCCCGGAUUGCAGGCGCCAGGACAGCGUGCUGCCCCGGGCCACUGUCUAGAGCAGCAACCUUUCGACGUCCAUCACCGGUUUCCCUGCUUUGGUCUCUGCGGCCGCGGGGCAUCAGAUAUAAAAAUGCAAAUUUUCGAAACGAAAACUUACUGUGCAUGUAGAAAAGGGUAUGGGAUAAGAGUGGAGUAGAUGUUUGGAGUUACUGAUCAGUUGUGACAGGUAGCCUAUUUUAAAUCCUUCACAUAAUAUCCUAUAUUUUAAAUCCUGUGCCUUCCAUUAACAUUUCAAAGUCUGCCACGGGAAUAUUACUGUAUUUUGAAGACGGUAUAUGAACAUUUUAACGGUUUUGGUAAGAAUACAUUAUGAAAACAUGCGAAUAGGCUAGUAUUUCAUCGCCACAGUAAUGUUUUUUGAUGAGAAAUCGUUCAAAUCCACGCGAUAGAAUGGCGCCGGAGGCUACCCUUAGUUUUGAUGCCGCCCCCCCCCUUCUCAUCUAGGACAUGCAUGUAUUUCUAUUACGAAACACUGAUACAAAUUGAGCCCCAACCUCGUUACAAAUAUGACAAAUAAAUGCAUCGAUCCACUUUUGCUUUCGCGGAAGCGACAUUAAUCAUCGUGAUUUAAUUUUGUUUAUCUUCUCAUGCUCUCUCCUCUUAGGUACAGUCAUCAAUUAAGCUACCGCCACUUGCCGUCAAAGGCGCGCCCUUGUGGUCGCUCGGGUCAGGGGUUAAUAUAAGAACGAGCCCUACUGCAAACAGCGUGAAGUCUAAAGGGAUUAGUGGUAUGCAAAAGGCUGGUAUUAAACCGUGUCUGCCAAGUUGGUCGUAUUAUCGCCGAAGGUGCAGUGUAGCAGUAAAACCAAGCUGUAAAACCGGUAACUCCGCUAUAGACGCGUUUUUGUAUAACAGACGCUAUGCCAUAUUGUAAACAUGAGCACAGUAUUUCAUUAAUUUGAGAAUGAGAUCAUCCACUAAAAGUCCGAAAGAUUUACCCAGUUUAUGUAUCUGUGUUUUGAGUCACAGCAAAACAGACACACUCACAUCAGGACAUAUGCAUGUUACUGUGUGCAGCACACCGUAGGUCAAUUGCAGCCGAUAUCGUAAUAUAGGCAGUUAGAUGCCUUGUUUGGCAGUGAUAAACAGUCUUAGGUGAAUUCGUAUUAAACUAUUACAUUUAUAUUGACUACAUUUUUCUAAAUUGUUUUUCAACUUUUACUUUUCAAUUUCCGAAUUGUUUCAAGGUAUUUCAGGAACCUGUCUCGAGCAAGUCUGUUGAUCGCUACAUAGUUAUACUUAAACUAGGCUAUAUUGUGGUCAAUAUAACAUCCGAAUAAAACCUAGCAAAUAGCCUCAUUGUAACAAAAUCAGCAUACAAUGGAGUCUAGCUCCCAUAAACACGACCGAAUACCACCACCCUAAAGAAAUUUUACAAUCACCAACCCAUUGAAAUUAAAAAAAAAAAAUGUGGGUGGAACUAGCAGUAGGCUAACUAAAGAAAAAAUGGAUCGUAUCGGAACCAAACACCAAUGCUGCACUUUCUUUGAGUGUCUCACUUUGUCACUUGCAAAGCAAACGCUUUGUCACUGCAAAAUUAUAAUAACAAAACGGGUUUGGGUUAUGUUGAAAAAUAAUAAAAAAUAUUUAUGAUGCAACUUCAUGAGCUGCAGUAUAACAUGCUUUUAACAUACAUGUAUCUAAAC